UACGUAGGGGGCAAGCGUUGUCCGGAUUUAUUGGGCGUAAAGAGCGUGUAGGCGGUUGGGUAGGUCCGUUGUGAAAACUCGAGGCUCAACCUCGAGACGCCGAUGGAAACCCCCCAGCUAGAGUCCGGAAGAGGAGAGUGGAAUUCCUGGGUGUAGCGGUGAAAUGACGCAGAUAUCAGGAAGAACACCCGUGGCUAAGGCGGCUCUCUAGUACGGUACUGACGCUGAGACGCGAAAGCGUGGGGGAGCGAACAGG
rnacentral:rRNA from 1 species